rnacentral:rRNA from 1 species
UACGAAGGGGGCUAGCGUUGUUCGGAAUUACUGGGCGUAAAGCGUGCGCAGGCGGCCUUCCAAGUCAGGGGCGAAAGCCCAGAGCUCAACUCUGGAAUUGCCUUUGAGACUGUGAGGCUUGAGUACGGGAGAGGUGAGUGGAAUUCCCAGUGUAGAGGUGAAAUUCGUAGAUAUUGGGAAGAACACCGGUGGCGAAGGCGGCUCACUGGCCCGAAACUGACGCUCAUGCACGACAGCGUGGGGAUCAAACAGG